GGGGAUAUAGCUCAGUGGUAGAAUAUAUGCUUAGCAUGCAUAAAGCCCUGGGUUUAAUCCCUAGCACUCCCA
rnacentral:tRNA from 1 species